GGGAAUCGGAACACAGGUGCUGCGAUGGCUGUCGUCAGCUCGUGUCGUGAGAUGUUGGGUUAAGUCCCGCAACGAGCGCAACCCUUAUCAUUAGUUGCUACGCAAGGGCACUCGUAAUGAGACUGCCGGUGACAAACCGGAGGAAGUGGGGAUGACGUCAAGUCCUCAUGGCCCUUAUGGGUAGGGCUUCACACGUCAUACAAUGGUCGGUACAGAGGGUUGCCAAGCCGCGAGGUGGAGCCAAUCCCAGAAAGCCGAUCGUAGUCCGGAUUGUUCUCUGCAACUCGAGAGCAUGAAGUCGGAAUCGCUAGUAAUCGCGGAUCAGCAUGUCGCGGUGAAUACGUUCCCGGGCCUU
rnacentral:rRNA from 1 species